CAUGCAAGUCGAACGAGAGAAGAGAAGCUUGCUUUUCUGAUCUAGUGGCGGACGGGUGAGUAACACGUGAGCAAUCUGCCUUUCAGAGGGGGAUACCGAUUGGAAACGAUCGUUAAUACCGCAUAAUAUAAUUGAACCGCAUGAUUUGAUUAUCAAAGAUUUAUCGCUGAAAGAUGAGCUCGCGUCUGAUUAGCUAGUUGGUAAGGUAACGGCUUACCAAGGCGACGAUCAGUAGCCGGACUGAGAGGUUGAUCGGCCACAUUGGGACUGAGACACGGCCCAGACUCCUACGGGAGGCAGCAGUGGGGAAUAUUGCACAAUGGAGGAAACUCUGAUGCAGCGAUGCCGCGUGAGGGAAGAAGGUUUUAGGAUUGUAAACCUCUGUCUUCAGGGACGAAAAAAGACGGUACCUGAGGAGGAAGCUCCGGCUAACUACGUGCCAGCAGCCGCGGUAAUACGUAGGGAGCGAGCGUUGUCCGGAAUUACUGGGUGUAAAGGGAGCGUAGGCGGGAUCGCAAGUCAGAUGUGAAAACUAUGGGCUUAACCCAUAAACUGCAUUUGAAACUGUGGUUCUUGAGUGAAGUAGAGGUAAGCGGAAUUCCUAGUGUAGCGGUGAAAUGCGUAGAUAUUAGGAGGAACAUCAGUAGCGAAGGCGGCUUACUGGGCUUUAACUGACGCUGAGGCUCGAAAGCGUGGGGAGCAAACAGGAUUAGAUACCCUGGUAGUCCACGCCGUAAACGAUGAUUACUAGGUGUGGGGGGACUGACCCCUUCCGUGCCGCAGCAAACGCAAUAAGUAAUCCACCUGGGGAGUACGACCGCAAGGUUGAAA
rnacentral:rRNA from 1 species